rnacentral:rRNA from 1 species
GACGAACGCUGGCGGCGUGCCUAAUACAUGCAAGUCGAACGCAGUGGGGACGGGUGAGUAACACGUGGGUAACCUCCCAUCAGAGGGGAUAACACUUGGAAACAGGUGCUAAACCGAUACUGAUGGAUGGACCCGCGGUGCAUUAGCUAGUUGGUGAGGUAACGGCUCACCAAGGCCACGAUGCAUAGCCACCCGUGAAGGGGGGUCUGCCAACCGGGGACUGAGCAACGGCCCAAAACCCUACGGGAGGCGUAGGUAGGGAAUCUUCGGCAAUGGAGUAAAGUCGGACCGAGAAACGCCGCGUGAGUUAAGAAGGUUUUCGGAUCGUAAAACUCUUUUGUUUGGGAAACGGUAUCUAACCAGAAAGCCACGGCUAACUACGUGCCAGCCGCCGCGGUAAUAC